CAGGUGGUCAGGUAGAGAAUACCAAGGCGCUUGAGAGAACUCGGGUGAAGGAACUAGGCAAAAUGGUGCCGUAACUUCGGGAGAAGGCACGCUGAUAUGUAGGUGAAGCGACUUGCUCGUGGAGCUGAAAUCAGUCGAAGAUACCAGCUGGCUGCAACUGUUUAUUAAAAACACAGCACUGUGCAAACACGAAAGUGGACGUAUACGGUGUGACGCCUGCCCGGUGCCGGAAGGUUAAUUGAUGGGGUUAGCGGUAACGCGAAGCUCUUGAUCGAAGCCCCGGUAAACGGCGGCCGUAACUAUAACGGUCCUAAGGUAGCGAAAUUCCUUGUCGGGUAAGUUCCGACCUGCACGAAUGGCGUAAUGAUGGCCAGGCUGUCUCCACCCGAGACUCAGUGAAAUUGAACUCGCUGUGAAGAUGCAGUGUACCCGCGGCAAGACGGAAAGACCCCGUGAACCUUUACUAUAGCUUGACACUGAACAUUGAGCCUUGAUGUGUAGGAUAGGUGGGAGGCUUUGAAGUGUGGACGCCAGUCUGCAUGGAGCCGACCUUGAAAUACCACCCUUUAAUGUUUGAUGUUCUAACGUGGGCCCCUUACCGGGGUUGCGGACAGUGUCUGGUGGGUAGUUUGACUGGGGCGGUCUCCUCCUAAAGAGUAACGGAGGAGCACGAAGGUUGGCUAAUCCUGGUCGGACAUCAGGAGGUUAGUGCAAUGGCAUAAGCCAGCUUGACUGCGAGCGUGACGGCGCGAGCAGGUGCGAAAGCAGGUCAUAGUGAUCCGGUGGUUCUGAAUGGAAGGGCCAUCGCUCAACGGAUAAAAGGUACUCCGGGGAUAACAGGCUGAUACCGCCCAAGAGUUCAUAUCGACGGCGGUGUUUGGCACCUCGAUGUCGGCUCAUCACAUCCUGGGGCUGAAGUAGGUCCCAAGGGUAUGGCUGUUCGCCAUUUAAAGUGGUACGCGAGCUGGGUUUAGAACGUCGUGAGACAGUUCGGUCCCUAUCUGCCGUGGGCGCUGGAGAACUGAGGGGGGCUGCUCCUAGUACGAGAGGACCGGAGUGGACGCAUCACUGGUGUUCGGGUUGUCAUGCCAAUGGCACUGCCCGGUAGCUAAAUGCGGAAGAGAUAAGUGCUGAAAGCAUCUAAGCACGAAACUUGCCCCGAGAUGAGUUCUCCCUGAGACUUAGAGUCUCCUGAAGGAACGUUGAAGACGACGACGUUGAUAGGCCGGGUGUGUAAGCGCAGCGAUGCGUUGAGCUAACCGGUACUAAUGAACCGUGAGGCUUAACCUU
rnacentral:rRNA from 1 species